GGGUGUGGCCUAAGGAGAUCAACACUCUAUAUAAAGGUGUGCAUAAUUAUUAGGCAGCUUCUCUCCCUCAGGCAAAAUGGGCAAAAAAGAGAUUUAAUGGACUCUGAAAAGUCAAUUAUCAAAUUGUAAAAAGUAUUUCAGAAGGAUGCAGCACUCUUGAAAUUGCGAAGAUAUUGGGGCGUGACCAUAGAACCAUCAAAUGUUUUGUUGGAAAUAGCCAACAGGGUCGCACGAAACGUAUUGAGAAAAAAAGACACAAGUUAACUGCCAAAGAUUUGAAAAGAAUCAAACAUGAAGCUACCAGGAACCCAUUAUUCUCCAGUGCUGCCAUAUUCCUGAACUGCAACCUACCCAGAGUGUCCAGAAGUACAAGGUGUUCAGUGCUUAGAGACAUGGCCAAGGCUUUUAACAAAUGUCUGGAUACCUUUUUCAAAUGACCCAGCUGAUCAUCUAAUCAGGAUCCCUCCUGCACAUCUCCUAGCACAUCAAACGGUGAAGCAGAUGGGCUAAAGGAGCAGAAGACCACACUUGGCACUGCAGGAUAAUGUAUCUCGACACAAAUCCUGGUGUCUUGAACAUGACAAUGAAUUCAAUCUACUCGGACGUUGUGGAACAGAGGAAUGUUUCUAGCACUUUGCUGAAUCUGAGCCAUGAAGAAUUAUGGCAGCUCUGAAGGCAA